rnacentral:rRNA from 1 species
AGGACGAACGCUGGCGGCGUGCUUAACACAUGCAAGUCGAACGAGGCGCUUGCGCCUAGUGGCGAACGGGUGAGUAACACGUGAGCAACCUGCCCUUGGCUCUGGGAUAGCCUCCGGAAACGGGGAUUAAUACCGGACAUGACCUUCUCCUGCAUGGGGGAGGGUGGAAAGUUUUUCGGCCAGGGAGGGGCUCGCGGCCUAUCAGCUUGUUGGGGGGUAACGGCCCACCAAGGCGACGACGGGUAGCCGGCCUGAGAGGGCGACCGGCCACACUGGGACUGAGACACGGCCCAGACUCCUACGGGAGGCAGCAGUGGGGAAUAUUGCACAAUGGGGGAAACCCUGAUGCAGCGACGCCGCGUGCGGGAUGAAGGCCUUCGGGUUGUAAACCGCUUUCAGCAGGGGCGAAUUCGAGACGGUACCUGCAGAAGAAGCGCCGGCUAACUACGCGCCAGCAGCCGC